GUAGUCCACGCCCUAAACGAUGUCAACUGGUUGUUGGUGGGGUUAAACCCAUUAGUAACGAAGCUAACGCGUGAAGUUGACCGCCUGGGGAGUACGGCCGCAAGGUUAAAACUCAAAGGAAUUGACGGGGACCCGCACAAGCGGUGGAGCAUGUGGUUUAAUUCGAGGCAACGCGAAGAACCUUACCAGGCCUUGACAUGGUUAGUAUGGACUCCGGAAACGGAGUUCUUCAGUUUGGCUGGCUAACACACAGGUGUUGCAUGGCUGUCGUCAGCUCGUGUCGUGAGAUGUUGGGUUAAG
rnacentral:rRNA from 1 species